rnacentral:rRNA from 1 species
UGAGGAAUAUUGGGCAAUGCCCGAAAGGGUGACCCAGCAACGCCGCGUGGAGGAUGAAGGUCGUAAGAUUGUAAACUCCUGUUAGAGGGGAAGAAUAACUAAGUUUGGAGCUUAGUAUGACUGUACCCUCAGAGAAAGCCCCGGCUAACUACGUGCCAGCAGCCGCGGUAAUACGUAGGGGGCAAGCGUUGUCCGGAUUUACUGGGUGUAAAGGGCGCGCAGGCGGAAUGGAAAGUCAGUGGUGAAAUCCUACAGCUUAACUGUAGAACUGCCUUUGAUACUUUCAUUCUUGAGUUCGGGAGAGGGAGACGGAAUUCCAGGUGUAGUGGUGAAAUACGUAGAGAUCUGGAAGAACACCAGUUGCGAAGGCGGUCUCUUGGUCCGAUACUGACGCUGAGGCGCGAAAGCGUGGGGAGCAAACA